rnacentral:rRNA from 1 species
GUCGCACGAGAAUCCGGCUUCGGCGGUAGUAAGUGGCGGACGGGUGAGUAACACGUGAUAAUCUGCCCUUCGGCGGGGGACAACAGUCCGAAAGGAUUGCUAAUACCGCAUACGUCAGCGAGGUCUUCGGACCUUGUUGGGAAAGAUGGCCUCUCCAUGGAAGCUAUCACCGAAGGAUGAGUCCGCGGCCCAUCAGCUAGUUGGCGGGGUAAUGGCCCACCAAGGCUUAGACGGGUAGCUGGUCUGAGAGGAUGAUCAGCCACACUGGAACUGAGACACGGUCCAGACUCCUACGGAGGCAGCAGUGGGGAAUAUUGGGCAAUGGGCGCAAGCCUGACCCAGCCAUGCCGCGUGAGUGAUGAAGGCCUUCGGGUCGUAAAGCUCUGUGGGGAGGGAAGAAACCGGACGUGGAUAAUACCCACGGCUCUUGACGGUACCUCCUUAGCAAGCACCGGCUAACUCCGUGCCAGCAGCCGCGGUAA